rnacentral:rRNA from 1 species
AUUGAACGCUGGCGGCAGGCCUAACACAUGCAAGUCGAACGAGUGGCGGACGGGUGAGUACUGUCUGGGAAACUGCCCGUUGGAGGGCGAUAACUACUGGAAACGGUAGCUAAUACCGCAUACCAUCGGAUGUGCCCAGAUGGGAUUAGCUAGUAGGUGGGGUAACGGCGCACCUAGGCGACGAUCCCUAGCUGGUCUGAGAGGAUGACCAGCCACACUGGAACUGAGACACGGUCCAGACUCCUACGGGAGGCAGCAGUGGGGAAUAUUGGACAAUGGGCGCAAGCCUGAUGCAGCCAUGCCGCGUGUAUGAAGAAGGCCUUCGGGUUGUAAAGUACUGUAAGCGAGGAGGCGGUACUCGAAGAAGAAGCACCGGCUAACUACGUGCCAGCAGCCGCGGUAAUUC